ACCACACAGGCGCCGUCCACACGCUAACAGUCGAGCAUGGCUGUCUGGCUGUAACUCGUCGCUCGCUGAUAGCGGAGGUUAAUAGUGAUAACAUCUAGACGUCGCAGGCUGCUGUUCGAACCGAGAGACGCCGUGAGGGACGGCAGCGAGCUGCGAUAAUGCAUCGUUGGUUACACAGCGUUACAGACAGAUGAGUGACAUGCUGGUAGUGGCUAUAGAAGAUGAAAUAGCCGCCCGCGUACAGCAUGCGAGACUGCAGGAGCAUCGCAGGAGCAAUGGUGGUCCGACUCGUAUGCACCGCCGGACAGUUCCUGGAAUCCGCCCAAGUACAGCUCACGGCACCGCAGAAGGCCAAUGCCGUACUGAUGUUUGUGUGGGUCCUUGGUGUUUUGCUGUUUGCACCCAUUAUUUUAUAAAUGUUCUUGGAGGUGCAGAGUGCUGAAAUUCAAAUGUGUUUACUAGCAGCUAGUCAUACUAAAAUUUUUUUAACCAAAAGUUAAAUUUGUGUGAGAAAUUAAUGGAGACAAUGGUGCCUUGAAUUUAGUGACAAGCACUGCAAUAAUAUUUUUUUUUUCAUCCAGACAUUUUUUGAAGUUUUAAUCUAUUGUAUUGAUAAUGUUUUCUGUUUUGUUUACAAGCAUUGCAAUUAAUAUUUUUUUUCAUCCACAACAUUUUUGAAGUUAUUGUAUUGAUAAUGUUUUCUAGUUUUUUUUACUUUUAAUUGUUUGUGUGUUUUAUGUGUGACGUGACACCAGUUUAGUGAAGUUAAUUUUUAGUUAUAAUGUACCUAUUUAUGUACCUACCUGCCAUGUGUAUAUCAUAUGUUAUUAUUAUAAUUGAAAUAGGUAAGCACAUUUAGUUCCUGGCAUGUAAACUAAGGUUUGUUAUGACUGAGAUAACUAUGAAAACAAUUUUAAUCUUUUUAAUUAUUCCUCCAUGUUACAUUAACAACCAUUUCUUUCAUCAACACAUAAUUUUUGCCAUUAGGGUGGUCCUUGUUGCAAUUAAAUACUAUAUUCUAAAUAUCUUAUAAACAAGGCAUAGUUUUUAUAUUUGUGUGGUUUGGUUACAUCUUACACCCUUUCAGAUUAUUUCCAUUGCUGAUAUGCACAGGCAGGGGGAUAAAUAAGAGGAUGUUUACAACCACCAUCAGGUAUUAGAGGCAAGAUUAUAUGGUGAAUAGUGACGAAACUGAAAUAACACCAAAAUUCACCCAAAUUAUUAAAGUCUGUAGGUUAAAAUGUGAAAUUCAAUCUAUAAACUUUAGUUUAUGCUUUUACUAAAAAAAUUUAACAUUAAUGUACCAUGUACAUAAAUGCAUGUAGUUUGUGUUGUGUAGUUUUUUUUAAGUUCACAGAGAAAAUAAAGUAAAAAAAAAAUUUGUUAAAAAUUUAACAUCUAAGAGAUGUGGCUUAAGGCCGAGAUCCAUAGUUUUGCAAGCACGACGGAAAUUAUUUAUCCCACGAAUAGCACUGUCGGUAAAAAAAUUGUAAAUUACAGCAUUAUAAGAUCAAGCUUUGAUUUUUGCAAUUGUGGUAGAAAAAAUUUUAUCAAAAAAUUAUUUGUUACUAAAUUGUAAUUAAGAAAUUUUUAAAACGACGUAUUUCAUAUUUAUAAGAACUGUACACGGUCUUUAUUUUACAUACAAAUCAAAUUGAGUAUCCUUUACAAUUCCUGUAGCCCAAAACUGAAACAUUACGUACAGAAUUUAAAUAAUUUUAGUUUAAAACUUGUCAUGUAACGGACGCGUGUAGCUCGUGAAAUGGACGAAUGAUGUGUUAGUUCAGCUUUACGCCGCUAGACGUCAGGCACGAUGAGUUUAGAGUUUGCCCGCUAGAUGUCCCAACUAUCGCAGAGGAUUUCUGUAGGGAAUAAAAUUUAUUUUAAACUUUCGACUUCAAAACUUGUUUCGGUGACAGUAAGUCGUUGUGUUUUGAAAAUAGAAAUAAGCCAAUUAAAAACUCUUCCAUUUCCUUCGAACUAUAUUGAGCAAUGAAACAUCUAUAUCCUAAUAUUGCACAGAUAUGAUUUAACGAAACUCUGUAGAACUUUAAUUGUAAACUUUUAUUGAGACAAGAUUUAUUGUUUUUAUGAUUAUAGUCAUAUUGCGUGGAUCAAACGUGACCUAUUAAAUGUCUUUUCUUUAUUUUACUUUUUACAACAACACGCGUCCUCUUUCGCCCCAUGGUCCGCUCUGUAGGUAUCAGGUCACGCAAUAUUUUGAAUGUUAUUGUAAUUUUGGCAAUUUAAAAUUUGUGAUUUAUGUGUAGUAAAGUAUUUUUUAAUUUUUAUAAUUAUUAUUUUUUUUAGUUGGUUGGUUUUCUAAUGGUAUAUACGUUCCUUUAUUUCCUAUAAUAAAGUCAUAUUUUACUACUGGAAUCUUUCCAUAAUAUCUUCAAAUUGCAAUAACUAUUUCUCUGCAUGAGAAAGGUAAUAAAUCAAAUAUAUAAAAUUAACGUCUGAUAGCAGUUAUGUCUUGUUUUGCAAUAAUAUUUGAACAAUGUGUUGAAAUUAUAUGUAUGAAAAUUACAAAAUACUAUCAAAUUUACAACAGCUAGAAGCACUGAAACAGCUUUUGCUGAUUUUUGUUAUAAAAGAUACCGAUACAAGGCAAUUGAUGAUGAAUCGAUAGGAAUUUUUUGUAACGUAUCUAACACGAUUUGACACGAUUAAUCAAAAUAUAAUGUUGAAUAAAAAACAUUAUUUUAACUGGGAAUAGUUUAAAAACACACAAAUUAUUUCAGUUUUAUCUUAAUGACAUGAAGCAUUUAUAGUACCCAUUCUGUUCAGCCUGAAUGAUUAGGUCCACAUUGUCAAUUCUGAUAUCCAAACAACAAAUAUCGGGGUUGCCCAAGAAAGCAUUGUCCAAACCUAUUAUUGAAUACGUGAAUGUUGCGGAAGAAUCAGUAAAAAUGUGUAUCUCAUUAGCUUUGCGGAUGACGCCAACACAAUUCCUUAAAAAAAAAAAAAAAAAAAAUUCUCAAAUGUACGAAUGUUUGUUUCAGAGAAACGUUUUAGAUACUAUUUAGAAGAUUUUCGAUAAAUUGUAUCAUAUUUGGUAGUGAAUGGUAGUUAAGAAAUGUUCUAUUCUUUAGCCACUGUUUUUUUUACAAUCCCUUACAGUAUUGGUUGGAGGUUGGUUGUAUAAAGUAUUAUUUCAGACUAAAGUUGUAGAGACUAUUUAUUAAGUUUGCAGAAAAUAAGAAUGUAUUUUAUAUUUUAUGUGGCAAGAAUGUUAUAAUUUUUGUUUGUUUUUCAAUUCUAAUCGUUUGAACUCCUUGCAACAAUGUUUAGACUUAUCAAAAAUAGUUUUAUAAACAUUUUCUAGAACACAUCUAAAGUUUACAAACAAUUUGAACUGAUUUGAUGGCGUGCCUGCUAAGGAAGUUAAGAAAUUCUUUUGUCCUCUGAGCCAUUUUUAUUUAACCUUGCAGUUAUUUUGACAAAAGGUUUUUGGUAUAAAUUAAACGAGAUAUAUAAUAACUCUUCAUACGGAUGCGCGGGUUAUAGCAAUUGUCCUAUUUAAAAAAAUAAACCUUCCCCAUUUCUGCCCCAUUGGUCAGAUAUUUUCCAUUAACAAACUCGACCAAGAUUUCUCAUUGUUUUUUUUCUUCAUUAAUUUGGAAAUGUUUCGUGCAAAAUUACGUAGUUAUCGUGUUCAUAAAAUUUUAUGUAUGUUAUAUAUAUGCAUAUAUAAUGUUUUGAGAUGAUGAUUUUGGGGACACUAAACUAUGUAACGAAAAACUUUGUAGAAAUUUUCCGGAAGUUACACAGUGGUAACUGCUACAAUAGGAAGUCUUUCUCCGAAAUCUACCCAACUCUAUAAAAAAAAGAUCACUUUUAUUUCAAUGAUUUAAAGGCUAGCAAAUUCAUGCCAAUACAUUUGCAUACGAACAGCAUUUUUUAUAAUCACUCUAUUAGUUGCUGCAUUAAUUUUUAGAGUUAUAAACAAAUCCAAGUAAAACAAAAUAAAAUGAACAGUAAGUAUUUAAAUGAAUAAACCACUUCAGUCACUACCGAAAACUAUUUAAAUCGUUAAGAUUCAUCCUGUUCCUUAUAUUUUUAUCUUUGUAUCCAUUUUAUAUAUCAAAACAACAUGAAAAAAAAACUUCAUUAUCGAUCCAGAAACAACCAAAAAAUACACUUGCAGAGAACCACAAAAAAUACUGCCUUAGAAAGUGUUUCCGCAGUGGAUUUAAACUUAUAAUAGCUUUCGUGUUUCAUAAAAUCAAUUUUAAACUCUAUUAAAUUAAAUUAAUUCUUCUAGAUGAAUUGAAGUUUGUAAGGCCGUGUCCGUAUUCGCCUAAAGUAUAUAAUACUAUACGUACUUGUCCCUGGAAGUGAAAUCACAAGGGCUGCAUAACUGAAAGUUAAGUAAAUUCAAGUACGCAAGUAAAUAAAUCUGUGUACUUCUCACGUACUUCCAGUUGAAAAAACGUCACCAUUUUGAAAAACGAUUUUAGGUUAUAUUUGAUUUUAAAAAUUUAAGAACUCUUAAAAAACAUUAAUAAUUUUUAUUAUAAAUUUGAUGAAAACAUUAUUUAUACACGUUUACAAAUAAGUUUAAACAAUUACAUGCACAUGCACAGCCUACUGUUGGUAACUACAAAACGUAGGUAAAAUAAUAAAUUAAAUUGCCAUAAAUUCGCGGGACAGUAAUUAAGUGUUAUAUGACUAUUUUCGGCUAAAAACAUUUUUCUCAAUAAAAAUUGUGUGCAAAAAUAAAAUGUAAACAUCCUUUUUGGCUAGAUAUUACCAUGUGAAGAGGCCAAACAUUGAACCUGUCCAGAUUCGUCAAGGGCAAGUGAAGUACGCAAGGUUGCAAGCUCAUAACUACAUAACUUUAGUUCGGAUCGGCCUAAAUAAACAUGUUAGUAGUAGUAUUAUAGUUUGGUUGCUCCAAGCCCUGGCUUCAGGCUGAGGAUUGAGGAUGGGGUCAAUGACCUAUUGAUCUGGCGUUACGGUGGCAAUAUUUGGUGUCAAAAUUCCCCCAAAAAAAUUAAUAUUUGGAGGGAAAAAUUCCCGUUUUGAGGGAAAAUUUCUCGUUUUAGUUAUCAAAACUGUCAACGGCUUUAAAAUUCCUAAAAGUGGCUUAAAUUCUUAGCGUCAAGCCGUUCUAAGCCGUCGAGGUCAUGACCUUGACAAUUAGGAUGACAUCACCGCAAUUUUGAAUUAUCUCGUAACUGUUGCAAUUAUCGUGUGUAUAAAAAUUAAACUAACUGGCUGUAGCGCACUCUAGCAAACAUAAACAAGAUGACGACUGUGAUGUCGUAAUCCAAGAUGGUGGGCGUGACGUCAUACUAGCGGGCUAUAUAUAUAUAUAUAUAUAUAUAUAUAUAUAUAUACACACACAUAUAUAUACACUUUAGCAUUAGUGGUGGGAAGUCAUUCUGAUGGCGGCUUACAUGGAGGAAGGAUGGGUCGCCAUUUUUUUUAUUUUUUGCACUCACCGGGUUAGAACCGAGGACUCCGAACUUCAUUUUGUAAGUGUGUUUUUAAAUAAUAUUUUAUUAAAUAUUGAUUAAAUUUUUUAUAAAUUUUGAAUCUUUUCUUAUUAAAAUCUGAAAAUAAAUACGGAUUCUCAAGAUGGUGGUAGUGAUCUCAUAAUCCAAGAUGGCGAAGUGAUAUUAUUUAAAUUUUUAUGUUUUAUAAAUUUUAAUAACGUUAAUGCAUUUUUUGGACAAUAAUUACUGUUUUUCAAGAUGGCGGCCGUAACAAAAAUUGCAAAGAUCUAUAAUUCAAGAUGGCGGGCGUAAAGAAAAGUGAAAUGAUGGCGUUAUACACAUCCAUUAUGGCGGGCAUAACGAAACAUGCAACAGUUCUGGAAUCCAAGAUGGUGGCCGUAACGAUAUGUGCAACGGUGUGUUUAAAUAUUUUUUAUUUAAAUUUUGUUAAUUAAAUUAUUUAAUAAAUUUUAAAUUUUUUGCCGAUUUUAUAGCAUAAAAAUUACGUAUUUUCAAAAUAGUAGGCGUACUGAUAAUUGCAACAGUUACGACAUAAUUCACAAUGGCGGUGAUGGUAUCCUAAUUGACAAGGUCAUGACUUCGGCAGUUUAGAGCGGCUUGACGCUAAGGAAUUUAAGCCGCUUUUAGGAAUUUACAAGCCGUUGACAUUUUUGAUGACUAAAACGGGAAAUUUUUCCUCAAACGGGAAUUUUUCCCUCGAAUUAGGAAUUUUUUUAAAAGGAAUUUUGAGUCAUUUUUGAGGAAUUUUGACACUAAAAAUGGCCGCCGUGAUGUCAGAGAAAUCGGUCUCAUACGUUUAUGCCCUUAUAUAUUCUUGAUUAAAAAGUGACAAUGUAUAAUGACAGGGCCCAUAGCAUAAUUAUGUAUACCAGUUGCGGAAAAUGUAAUGUAAUGAUACUUGUAUAUAUAAGAAAAAAUAUAAUUUUUCUCAUUAAUUUGCAA